rnacentral:rRNA from 1 species
ACGGAAGGCAGCAGCUAAGAAUAUUCCGCAAUGGACGAAAGUCUGACGGAGCGACGCCGCGUGGAUGAUGAAGGCCGGAAGGUUGUAAAAUCCUUUUAUACAUGAGGAAUAAGCAGAGCAGGAAAUGGCUCUGUGGUGACUGUAGUGUAUGAAUAAGCAACGGCUAAUUACGUGCCAGCAGCCGCGGUAACACGUAAGUUGCGAGCGUUGUUCGGAAUUAUUGGGCGUAAAGGGCAUGUAGGCGGUUUUGCAAGCUUGGUGUGAAAGGCAGGAGCUUAACUCCUGGACUGCGUUGAGAACUGCAAGACUAGAGUUACUGAAGAGCAAUCAGAAUUCCAGGUGUAGGGGUGAAAUCUGUAGAUAUCUGGAAGAAUACCAAUGGCGAAGGCAGGUUGCUGGCAGAUGACUGACGCUGAGGUGCGAAGGUGCGGGGAGCAAACAGGAUUAGAUACCCUGGUA